UACAGAGGGGGCAAGCGUUGUUCGGAAUUACUGGGCGUAAAGGGCGCGUAGGCGGCCCGCUAAGUCGAACGUGAAAUCCCCGAGCUCAACUCGGGAACUGCGUCCGAUACUGGUGGGCUUGAAUCCCGGGAGAGGGAUGCGGAAUUCCAGGUGUAGCGGUGAAAUGUGUAGAUAUCUGGAGGAACGCCGGUGGCGAAGGCGGCAUCCUGGACCGGCAUUGACGCUGAGGCGCGAAAGCUAGGGGAGCAAACGGG
rnacentral:rRNA from 1 species